UACGGGGGGGGUAAGCGUUGUUCGGAAUUACUGGGCGUAAAGGGCUCGUAGGCGGCCAACUAAGUCAUACGUGAAAUCCCUCAGCUUAACUGGGGAACUGCGUGUGAUACUGGAUGGCUUGGAUUUGGGAGAGGGAUGCGGAAUUCCAGGUGUAGCGGUGAAAUGCGUAGAUAUCGAGAGGAACACCAGUGGCGAAGGCGAGUCCCUGGACAACACCUGACACUGAGGCACGAAAGCUAGGGGAGCAAACAGG
rnacentral:rRNA from 1 species